ACUCAAACUUGCUCUUUACAUUGGGAAACUGACUCCAGUACACAAAUGGAUUGUCCGACCACAGGGAAAAAAUCCACAAAGGCAGACACGUCGGGUCAUCCUCCUGGGCUGAGGAGUUUCUGGCUCUCCUGGCAGGGAUCUGGGAUGUCCCUUAUAUGGCCAAGAGGUUUUUCUUCCUUCUCUUCCUGAGCUGACCAUGAAGAAUGUUUUUAAGGGCUGCUCGGCGCCUUAGAAGAAUUGCCACUUUUGCAGUCAAAUCCAAGUAACAUCUGCUCCAUGCAACCAGUCAAUAUUGUGGAAAAGUUCAAAGAAUGAAGAUCAUUAGUAGUGUCAGCUUUACAACCAGAAGUUUACAGGCAAUGCAGUGUUUGUGACAGAGCUCUUCUGAAGUAGACAUUUAAUUGCAACACUUCUGAAAUGAGCAGAGAGAGAGUCAGCUCCAUAGAUGCAUCCCGUGAAUAAAGUGUGUGAUCAACAACAGCAAUCAUCAUCAUCCACUCCAAAGACAUCGUGAAUUCUUAACUAAAACAUGUUGAAUUGAAGAGGUGCCAAACUCCCUACACUUUGGAGCGCUAAACCACCUUUGUUUUGCCCAAGACAACAGCCCAGCUUGGAAGGGACCUUAAAAGAUGCUGUGUUCCAACUGAAGGAGAGGGAACCUAGUGGGACCCAGUCUUUCACCAAUGUUUCUGCAGUCUAAUCAGCUGUAACCCAGGAGGUUACGAUGCAUCGCUGAGAAAUAAGCAACACCAGAUGCUUUAGGGGUCCAAAAUUGGAAAAAUCAGACCAGUGAUCAACCUCGUAACCUGUAGAUAAGUGAGGCUGGCUCAUCUGCUCGUUCAUCACCUGUGUUAAGGUUGCCUCGUUCUCCUGGUCUGUACCCUGAGGUGUUCUGCGGACGUUGUCCUGUCCACCUUUUCCUUGGGAUAACCUGCUGCUGCGUGUAACCGAUUUGCCUGUGACAUAUGAGAUCCUACAGGAGCUAAAAAGCGCCGGGUAAUGGAUGAGGAAAAGCCAGAAGUAAUGGAAUAGUUGAAAUGGAGCAUGCAUUUCCACUUUAUUCAGCAUUCUCCCACCCUGCUCUUUGCCUGCCUCUAAAAUAACCUGGAGGAUAUGAUCAGGAGAAGGUGAAUUGUGUUGAUUAGGCCCAGUGGAGUCUUGCCAAUGGAAUGUUGUUGUGCUAUUUACAGAUAACAAAAGGAUCACCUCUAUUUAUCCUUAUGCUUUGUCAUAAGGAUCAGUAUGUUGUUGCUUUGGAUACUGAGAAGGUGAGGAAAGUUUAGCAAGUCUGGACCUAUUCAAAAUCUCAGAAGCCAGAAUCCAUGAAUGUUCACGAUGAACAUAAAUCCUCAGAAAGAUUAAGAAAUUGUUUAGAACAAUGGAAUUUUUUUUCUUUAAAUAUUUCAGUUUUUAGCAGGACCUCCCAAUGCUGAUAGCUCUAUUUUAGUUGAGAGCUGAGAAAGUGAAGGAUAUUAAAUUUAUGAAAUGCAUCAUACCUAAGUCAAAAGAUAUAGUAGGAAAAAAAAGCCUACUUGCACUUGGACAGACCAUAUCAGAAAUAGUGUUAAAACAUUAAAGAAAAAUGUGAUUGGUCACCAGCACUAGCAGUAUGUAGGUGUAGAAGAAAGGAUUACAGGUGGCCUUGCCCCUGACAAGUCGCAGCUGUACUAAUUACCAAAGGGGAGGAACAGCCUUGCCAUUAAUGGGUUGCAGCUGUGACAAAUAAAGAUAAGUGUCGUAAAAGGAGGUGGUUAGAGGGAGGAUUUUGAAGAAGGAGAUACUGGGAGGAAGAUGAUAUUGAAGGAAUGCUCCAGAAGAACCAGAGGAGCGGGUGAAACCGGAGAGAGCAUCCCUGCUGUGAGGUCAGUGUGGGUGUGCAGUCAGAGCCCGUGGCUGAUCCCUGCAGUCAGAGCCCGCAAGGGAAGCCCAGAGCAGGAGCUGCUGCAGCCAGAGUCACUGAAUGGCUGGAGUCAGGAUGGCUGAGCUGGAAAGGGGACUAAACCAGCACCCUUUCCAUGCUGUGAUAAACAAGAAGUCGGUGUCUUGCCUCAUUUCUACCCUCUAACAAGAGGGCUGCUGCAGCAGUAGUAGUUGCCACAAGCAGGAGCAAAAUAAUUGUUUCUAAGACUGUAGUUGC